rnacentral:misc_RNA from 1 species
GAAAUAUUUUGAGAAAGUUCUUCGUUUGGCCAUCAAAGGGCUUGGGACCGAUGAAGAGGCUUUGACUAGAGUGGUAGUAACGCGAGCUGAGGUCGACAUGAAACGCAUUGUUGAAGAGUAUUAUCGGAGAAGCAGUGUUCCUUUGGACCAGGCGAUAAAAGGCGAUACCUCUGGGGAUUAUGAAGGGAUGCUUCUUGCUUUGAUU